rnacentral:lncRNA from 1 species
AUGCACAUCACGUCUCUCAACCUCUCUCUCGAAUAGGCAGCUCGAGAUCUUUUUCUUAGCGCUAAGAUAAGACUAAGGCGUAGUCCUAUCUGUCUAGUCACGAAUUAAUGUGAUGAUCUGCAGCGUCUGCACUGUACCUAAGGGGAGGCGGAACUCUUCAAGGAGGGAGAGGACCAGCUUCAUGCCCUCCCCGUGGCCCUUCUUGACGAUGCCUCCCCCUUUCUCGGCCAUGGUUUAGAUGGCAAAAUAAAAAAGUCUUUGAAAUGGAGGGAAGAUUAAGGCAGAGGUUUUGUGAUAUGGGAGAG